GGCGGCGUGCCUAACACAUGCAAGUCGUACGAGAAAGCCGGCUUCGGCUGGUGAGUAAAGUGGCGCACGGGUGGGUAACGCGUGGAUAAUCUGCCCUUAAGUGUGGAAUAACGUACCGAAAGGUGCGCUAAUACCGCAUAAUGCCUGGCAACACAAGUUGUCCGGCCAAAGAAGGCCUCUGUUUACAAGCUUUCGCUUCAGGAUGAGUCCGCGUACCAUUAGCUUGUUGGUGGGGUAAUGGCCUACCAAGGCUGCGAUGGUUAGCUGGUCUGAGAGGAUGAUCAGCCACACUGGAACUGAGACACGGUCCAGACUCCUACGGGAGGCAGCAGUGAGGAAUAUUGCGCAAUGGGGGCAACCCUGACGCAGCAACGCCGCGUGAGUGAGGAAGGUUUUCGGACUGUAAAGCUCUGUCGAGCGGGAAGAAGUGUACCAUGGCUAAUAUCCAUGAUAUUUGACGGUACCGCUAGAGGAAGCACCGGCUAACUCCGUG
rnacentral:rRNA from 1 species